rnacentral:rRNA from 1 species
CCUACGGGUGGCAGCAGUGGGGAAUAUUGGACAAUGGGGGGAACCCUGAUCCAGCCAUGCCGUGUGUGUAAAGAAGGCCCUCGGGUUGUAAAGCACUUUCAGUGAGGAAGAACGCCUGGUGGUUAAUACCCAUCAGGAAAGACAUCACUCACAGAAGAAGCACCGGCUAACUCCGUGCCAGCAGCCGCGGUAAUACGGAGGGUGCGAGCGUUAAUCGGAAUUACUGGGCGUAAAGCGCGCGUAGGUGGCUUGAUAAGCCGGUUGUGAAAGCCCCGGGCUCAACCUGGGAACGGCAUCCGGAACUGUCAAGCUAGAGUGCAGGAGAGGAAGGUAGAAUUCCCGGUGUAGCGGUGAAAUGCGUAGAGAUCGGGAGGAAUACCAGUGGCGAAGGCGGCCUUCUGGACUGACACUGACACUGAGGUGCGAAAGCGUGGGUAGCAAACAGGAUUAGAUACCCCGGUAGUC